GCUGCUACCACCAUCCGCGGUGUUGACAUAAACACAGAUGCUGUAGUAUUCUGUCCUGGAAGAGCAAUCCUGAGGACUCCUCCACAAGUCUCACGGAAGUGCUGGCUGCAGUUCUUUGAGGCUGCAGAGGCUGUAGUGGGCUUCUGGUCCUGGGACCACUGUCGCACCUCUGCUGGCAAGAGGUGGUAAAAUUGCUCCAGC